rnacentral:rRNA from 1 species
AGAGUUUGAUCCUGGCUCAGAUUGAACGCUGGCGGUAUGCUUAACACAUGCAAGUCGAACGGUAGCAGGCCUUCGGGCGCUGACGAGUGGCGGACGGGUGAGUAACGCGUAGGAAUCUGCCUCAUAGUGGGGGACAACGUGGGGAAACCCACGCUAAUACCGCAUACGCCCUACGGGGGAAAGCGGGGGAUCUUCGGACCUCGCGCUAUGAGAUGAGCCUGCGUUAGAUUAGCUAGUUGGUAGGGUAAAGGCCUACCAAGGCGACGAUCUAUAGCUGGUCUGAGAGGACGAUCAGCCACACUGGGACUGAGACACGGCCCAGACUCCUACGGGAGGCAGCAGUGGGGAAUAUUGGACAAUGGGCGAAAGCCUGAUCCAGCAAUACCGCGUGUGUGAAGAAGGCCUUAGGGUUGUAAAGCACUUUCAAUUGGGAGGAAAACCUGCCGGUCAAUACCCGGUAGCUUGACAUUACCUUUAGAAGAAGCACCGGCUAACUCCGUGCCAGCAGCCGCGGUAAUACGGAGGGUGCGAGCGUUAAUCGGAAUUACUGGGCGUAAAGCGUGCGUAGGCGGUUCGUUAAGUCAGAUGUGAAAGCCCCGGGCUCAACCUGGGAACUGCAUUUGAAACUGGCGGACUAGAGUUUAGUAGAGGGGAGUGGAAUUUCAGGUGUAGCGGUGAAAUGCGUAGAUAUCUGAAGGAACACCAGUGGCGAAGGCGACUCCCUGGACUAGAACUGACGCUGAGGUACGAAAGCGUGGGUAGCAAACAGGAUUAGAUACCCUGGUAGUCCACGCCGUAAA